rnacentral:rRNA from 1 species
AUUGAACGCUGGCGGCAGGCCUAACACAUGCAAGUCGAGCGAGCGGCGGACGGGUGAGUAAUGUCUGGGAAACUGCCUGAUGGAGGGGGAUAACUACUGGAAACGGUAGCUAAUCCCGCAUACCAUCAGAUGUGCCCCGAUGGGUAUAGCUAGUAGGUGGGGUACCGGCGGACCGAGGCGACGAUCCCUAGCUGGUCUGAGAGGAUGACCAGGCACACUGGAACUGAGACACGGUCCAGACUCCUACGGAAGGCAGAAGUGGGGAAUAUUGGACAAUGGGCGCAAGCCUGAUGCAGCCAUGCCGGGUGUGUGAAGAAGGCCUUCGGGUUGUAAAGCACUUUCAGCGGGGAGGCGUUACCCGCAGAAGAAGCACCGGCUAACUCCGUGCCAGCAGCCGCGGUAAUUC